GGACUGCUCGGGGUUAGGCUGGGCAUCGGUCAGCGAGUGGAUACAAAGAAACAUUUUGCUGGCACAGACUUCUCUCUGGCUCAAGGCCUAAAUGUAAUUACACGUAUGUCUCUGAGGUGUAGAAGAGAUUUCUUUAAGCACUGCAAUGGUAACAGAGGCUGCCACUGAAAAGGAAGUUUUAGAUUGCCCUCACUGCCUUCCCCUCACACACCCAUUGGGACAGGCAAUACUGACUACACUACUUCAGAAACAAGUCGUGUAGAGACCACAUGCCUGCAGGCUGGUGGAGAGCUCCUAAAACUACACUGGAUGGUCUACAACAAGAAAAUGCUCUGGCAAAUCACAGCAUGACAGUUCAGGCAAACGCGUCUGAUGCCAAGCGGUACUAUCUCACUUCUCUGAUGGUCACAUAUCUUUACCUACUGUGAAGUUCACACCACUUGCCAAUCCUAUGCACACACUGUGCCUACACGAAGAGUUUGCUGCCUUCAUUCAACCCUACAAGCAGGGUAGCCUGAACAGCACACCAGCAACCGGACUUCAGACUUGCUUCCAGCAGAAGGGAAAACAAUGAUGUGUUCCAGUGUAUACAGCAGGUCUGGUGGAGGCAACAACACGAAUCUGCAACCCAACAACCCCUCCAGCUCACAUCACUCCCCCUAACAACCUGCAGUUCCCCCCCCCCCCCAGCUCUCAUCAUCAUAGACAUCACCAUCAAAGACAGAGGCCAUGACAUUUUGGCAUGCUGAGCACAAUUUCCAGUGUGAUUUCUGUGAGGAGAGGUGGCACCUAUCAAUCCAAAUGACAAAACAUCCAAAAUUUUAAGCAUUGUUCUGACACCAAUCUAUUCUACAAGGUAUAAUGAAUAAAUGUUUCAGCUUUCUCCUGGUAAAACAGAAGUAAUUACCCCAUAAGAAGGGAAGUAGGAAGUACAUGCAGAUUAAUUGUUACUUGAUAGGUCUUGAGAAAACAAUGACUCUCUUCUAAGUAGAUACAUAAUUUUUCACACACUCAGAGGUCUUCUCAAUAUGCAGAAGGACCUAGAAGCAUCACUGCUUGUAGUACUUUCUUGUGGUGGCAAAAAAUACAUGCACAGCAACCAUGAAGGAGUUAAAGUGAGAUAAAUGUAGGUUACAUUGGAACUUUAACAAAUUGGGACCCAAAGAUACACCAGCCAGUGAGGGUUAGAGGCAUCUGAGGGUCAUGAGCCUCAAAGCUAAAUGAAGGUCUAAGCCCUGCUGUUACACGUUCUGAAGAUUUCCUAGAAAAAGUGUUUGGUUUUCUGCCUCUGUUUUUCAGUGCAUACUGCAAGAUGAUAAAUGCAUAUGCUACUCAGAUGAGCUACCUUCUUUGUUUUCCCUCUGGUACUAUUAAGGAUGUGCCAGUGGCUACGAAAUAAGAAAGUUACUUGACAAAUUUCAAGUAAAUUCAUGGUGAAAUAUUAAGCUUCAUUCAUCUUUUCUGUGGCCCUUAAGUAAAACAGGGUUCUGUAAAAAAUUUUUGGGAGGCAUAAUAAAGACGAUGCAAGCAGUAAUGCAGCUGAUAAAUCAUUUAUGAAGAAAGUAAAGGGAGAACAUUCCCAAAUACCAGUGCACAAAGUAUUUCCACUAACAUCUUAGGCCUAAUAUACUCCAUUUUAAAACAGACAAUUAGAUAACUGCUAUAACAUGCACCACUGGGGGAAGAUGCGAACUACGACUGGCAGAAAGCAAACAAUCCAGUGUUCAUUCAUCCUGUUACCUUGAGAGGCAAGCUUCUCCGUGAGAAAAGAUUCAGUGGAUGAAUUCAAGCUCCUUGAGAAUCAGCCUCAAGACUUCUUGAAAGAGACUAUUGUGCUUUGUUAAGUAAUAAAGUAUGCACUUACUUUCUGG